GACGAACGCUGGCGGCGUGCCUAAUACAUGCAAGUCGAACGAGAGCGACCGGUGCUUGCACUGGUCAAUCUAGUGGCGCACGGGUGAGUAACACGUGGGUAACCUGCCCAUCAGAGGGGGAUAACAUCCGGAAACGGGUGCUAAAACCGCAUAGGUCUUCGCACCGCAUGGUUUGAAGAGGAGAAGAGGCGCAAGCUUCUGCUGACGCGUGGAACCGCGGUGUAUUAGCUAGUUGGUGAGGUAACGGCUCACCAAGGCCGUGAUGCAUAGCCGACCUGAGAGGGGGAUCGGCCACAUUGGGACUGAGACACGGCCCAAACGCCUACGGGGGGCAGCAGUAGGGAAUCUUCCGCAAUGGACGCAAGUCUGACGGAGCAACGCCGCGUGAGUGAAGAAGGUGUUCGGAUCGUAAAACUCUGUUGUUAGAGAAGAUCAAGUGCUAGAGUAACUGUUAGCGCCUUGACGGUAUCUAACCAGAAAGCCACGGCUAACUACGUG
rnacentral:rRNA from 1 species